rnacentral:misc_RNA from 1 species
GAUGAAGAACGUAGCGAAAUGCGAUAAGUAAUGUGAAUUGCAGAAUUCAGUGAAUCAUCGAAUCUUUGAACGCACAUUGCGCCCGCCAGUAUUCUGGCGGGCAUGCCUGUUCGAGCGUCAUUUCAACCCUCAGGUCCCCCUUUUCGGAGGGGGAGACACCCUGGUGUUGGGGGACGGCAUCCUGGCCCGCUGUCUCACAGUGUGCCACGCCGCCCCCGAAAUGAAUUGGCGGCCUCGUCGCGUGCCACCCCUGCGUAGUAGCACAACCUCGCAACGGGAGCCCGACGCGGCCACUGCCGUAAAACGCCCAACUUUUACCGAGUUGACCUCGAAUCAGGUAGGAAUACCCGCUGAACUUAAGCAUACAAUAAGCGGAGGA